GAGACGCCAAUCACCGGAAGAUGAACUUUCACGGUGUGAACUUUGACACGCGAAUUUUGCUUAUUAUCAAGGAAAGGGUAUGUCAUCUCUCUAUCAUUAAAUUUGUUGUCGUGGUUGGAAAUCAAGAUUGCACAACAUUGUUUUGGAAAAAAACAGAGGCUACUUUGGUAAAACAUAAUUGGAGAAAUCAAAAGAUGAAAAAUCUGAAGUUGAGUUCAAUAAUAAAUAAAUAAAUAAAACUAUAGCAAUGUAGAAGGAAUUUGGAUUUUGCUAUAGUUUUUAUAUUUCUAUCAAAUCAAACCAAGCAAAAAAGAAUAACUACCAGUUUGGUUAUUGUCGAUUUGGUUCAAUUUUUCUGAUUUGUUCGAUUUGGAAGUACUAAUUCUUUUGAGAACGUAUAUAUCUCGAUAGACACAAAAACAAUCUACAAAAAGGCUAGUAUUGGUUCAGUCAAGCAAUUAAAUUGUAUUAGAGUUAUCAUUACACAAACAAAGUGAUUCAUUUAAGAAAAAGGAUAACUAUUUUAUGUAUACAGUAGGUAAAGACUAAAAUGAAUAUUGAUGGACUUGGAUUUGAGAUUGUUAUACUUGGGCUAAAGUGUUGUGCUUGAGAAAAUGAUAAAGUUUCACAAAAUAUUUUUAAUUUAUUUGUGAAUAAUAUAAAAUAAUUAUAAAAUUUAUAUUUCUAAUUUAUUGGUUCGGUUUGGUUAUUUUACGGUUGUUUUUUUAGUAAAACCAAACCAAAUAGUUGAAAGUCAAGAGGGGGAGGGGGUGAAUUAAAAUUCCCUUAAGUCGACUUCCUGCUCUGGUAAGUCGACUCACCUGCACGUUAGUAAAACAGAUAAACAGUAAUAAUAACUUAUAGUAAGUAAAUAACACAGAAUGAUUUUAAACUCGUUUGGAUCAUUGAUGUGGUGCCUGGUCCAGUCCCAUUGGGCUACAAGGGCUUCCUUAAGAGCUUGUUGAGAACUUGAGUGUUACAGAAUGUUACGAUUAAGAGUCCAUCUGAUAUGCAAAUCAGACCUUCUUCUCUGACACAACCUCUACUUGUAUAAUUUACACUCGGAUCUUUCUUUUUCUUUUCUUUACAAUUGUUCACUCAAAGGUGUACAUAGUUUAUAAAAGAUAAAAGAAGAUUACAAUAUAAGUUCAAGUAAAGUGCGUGAUUUUCUUGGUCUUCUGAGGUCUUCAUUUAUAGGCUGAAUAUUAAGGCGUAGUUUAGCUCUAUUUGGAAAACCCAAGGGAGUUUCCUUUGAUCAAGGCUUUUGUAAUGAUAUUUUGAUUGAGCAAGAUUUCAUUUGAUUUGCUUCGACAUGCCAAGUUAAUUUCUGCCUUGAAUCAGAAGUUGGCUAGUUGUCAUCUGCUAAUUUCUUUUGAUCUUGUUUAAUUCUUUUUUCAUGUGAGAAUCUGCUUCCUUUGUUUGUGCAACUGCUUCCUUUGUUAAAGCGAUUUUCCUUCCAGUCGUGAGAUUAGAAUUUUCGUGAUUGGUUAGUUAAUCACUGUUGAUACUCCUUUCCAUUGAUACUUUGUUUUUUCUUUUUGAAGUUCAGUAUCCAUAGUGACUGAAUUGUCCCUCAUUUCUUGCGAUGUGAUUUGUUCGGUUUAGGAUGUCCUUGAUUGAGUCGAUUUAGUUGAUUUGCAUUAAUGCAGUAAAUCGUUUUCUCUGCUUUCCUUUGCUAGUUUGAUCUUCUCCUUAAAAUAUCACUAAUUGUCUUUACUUCUGGCUUGAUUCAUGGUUUUCUCUUUUUCUUGUUGAUUCUAAUUUGAUCUCUGCCCAAGUGUGCGAAUGUUUUGUCUAUUUUAAAGUUUCCUUGCAGUGUUGAUCAGUCAUAUGUUCCUUUCCUUAUUUGGUCCUUAAAUUGAUGUCUUCCAUUCCAGUGCAGCUUAGACAAUUACUCUUUUCCUUCUUGAAGCCACUUUUGUUUUGGACUUUUCUUUCUUGAUUUUGUUGGAUCUUGUCUGAUCAGCAGAUCUUGGUCCUCAACGAUUUGCUUCUUCAUCUUGCUUAACUUGGUUGGCUUCAUUUAUUUCCUUGUCUGGUCAGCAUAUUUUGAAUCUUUGACUUAAUUGUAAGAAUCAAAAUAUAUUGCUUUCCAUGUUGGAUCUCCAUGAUUGCGAGAAUUGUGACUAGUGUCUUAAUUGUCAUUCAUCAUAAUUUACAUAACAUUAAGAAGCUAACAAUAGUAUCAACUUUCAAAAUUUUAAAAAUCAAACCCAACCAAACUAAAUCGAAUAUCAAUUUUUUUUAAUCGGUUUGAUUCGGAUUGCGGUUUGGUUUGGUUGUUAACCAUAACACUGAACCACCCUAUUUCUAAUUUCAAAAAAAUCAAACGGUAUGCAAUUUUAAUUUUUUCCACAACGAGCUAUGAAUUUUACUAUAAGCGCGUAAGUAUUGGCGAUAAAAAAAUGGCUAACUUCAAUAAAUAGGGAAAGUAUGAAGCAACGACUUAAGGAAAGAAGGAUAUUUUAGAACAUGUGAGGUAAUAAUGGGAUCCCUAAAUUUGACUAUGAAUUGAGGGAAGUCUUUUAGAGAGUUUUCUUCCAUGGUAAUUUGAACAAAAUCAUUGACAACUUAACGAUUUCCAAGUAGUUGACUCGUUAAUUGGAAAACUACCAUAUUGAAUGAGAUCUCUUUGGAGCAAAUUUUAAUCCCUUUUGAAUUCCAAAGGAAAGUGAAUAUUCUUUUUUGGUUCAAAUGUUGUAAUCAAUUUUUUUCUUCUUAUUCCUUGUGAUACAAUGUUGCACUAAGAAAAGGUGAUUACUUGGUAAGACCCUUCUAUUUCAAAUAUACAUGUAGGUUACUUGCAAAUAGUGGCCUAGAUAGAAUGCAACAACAAGAAAUAACUACUAUUGAAGCCACAAAAAUUAGAACACAUCCGUGAAUAUUUCAAGUCUCAUCGUCAAGUUUCGACAGGUCUACACGUGAAUAAAUCUCGAAGAUACAAAUUUUAUUGGGUUAACUUCAUAGAGGAAGAUUGAAUUUAAUUCAUAUUCAUUUAGGUUAAUUAAUUAAUUUGGACUUUACGCAUUUUGGAGGGAAAAAAGUGGCUCAUUUUGAUAGCAUAUGUUGCCUUGCACAAAUUAGUAGAGAGAUAUCAGUAAUACAGUCAAUGCAUACCUCAUUUUGGUGCAUCAGAGACUGAGAAUUAUCAUGAAUAUGUUUAUGAUCAUCAUUCAUCAAUUUCUGCAGCAGUUAAAAGGGGCAGCAGACAGAUGAAUUUGGGGUUAAGAAGAAUCAUAAGCCAGGAAAUGGUUGAAGAUCACAUAUGCCGUUGAAACACUGGCCUCAAAUUAUAUCCGCAUAUGCCACAUGGAAAUGCGAUUUCAGGGCCACAAUAUGUAAAAGCAAAAUGGAUACUCUAGUAAUAAUUACAAGUUAGUGAUGCUAUAUUUGUAUCAACCUGCACUUGAUGUUCCUCUUACGCUACAAAAUUUAGUUUCUGGCAAACGUUCUCGCUUCCAGCUAGUUAAC
rnacentral:lncRNA from 1 species